AGCGGCAGACGGGUGAGUAACGCGUGGGAACGUACCUUUUGCUACGGAAUAACUCAGGGAAACUUGUGCUAAUACCGUAUGUGCCCUUCGGGGGAAAGAUUUAUCGGCAAAGGAUCGGCCCGCGUUGGAUUAGCUAGUUGGUGAGGUAAAGGCUCACCAAGGCGACGAUCCAUAGCUGGUCUGAGAGAAUGAUCAGCCACACUGGGACUGAGACACGGCCCAGACUCCUACGGGAGGCAGCAGUGGGGAAUAUUGGACAAUGGGCGCAAGCCUGAUCCAGCCAUGCCGCGUGAGUGAUGAAGGCCCUAGGGUUGUAAAGCUCUUUCACCGGUGAAGAUAAUGACGGUAACCGGAGAAGAAGCCCCGGCUAACUUCGUGCCAGCAGCCGCGGUAAUACGAAGGGGGCUAGCGUUGUUCGGAUUUACUGGGCGUAAAGCGC
rnacentral:rRNA from 1 species